UCUGCAACUCCUCCAAUGUGUAGUGAUCCGACAACGGUGCGCGCUCGCGCACCGCCCAUUUGUAUUUCGCGCGUGUUAGUGCCUUUACCAAGGCACAGAAGGAAGGCCCCUCUCGCGCAUGCGCGAACCACCGGUAGCACGACCCUAUUGCCUACGUAGCAGUUAGCGAGGCAAGGGGGUCGUAGAACGUUUGACCGCUAGCAGCAGCAGCCAAUGACUUGGGAACCAGCGAUUGAAGGCGACGGUCACACGUAUAUUCUCUCUCCGUCAGGGCUUGAUUCUAGCAGCAGUCGGCCGAAAUACCUUUAACCAAAUUGUUGCCGACCACAUUUCAACUUCCCUGUUCGACGCCAUUUUGACCCCUUUCUGUUUUUGGGCUGGACAUUGUAAAUAUUACAAUCUAUUAACUUAUAGCGGUGCGCGCCCGAACCUAGGACAUCAGAUAACACACUUAUUGUUAUUGUUUACCAAGAAAGAGAAUAAAGUAGUUAUAUGUAUAUUUUACGUCUGCGUCUUGUUGUUUCUGACUGGUAGAAUUCUGGAUUAUUUAAGCAACGGCUAGUGAGUGAUUGCUUUGUGCACCCCAAGAGUGCACGAAGAUAUUCACAACUCACAUCGAAGUUCCUUUCAGUGGUGACCCCCGACGUGAUUCUGGUCUAAAACCAGAGAUCACUUAUCAACAAAAAAA